ensembl:lncRNA
AUUAACAUGCUUGGCUCUGCUCCCUGCUACACUGGUAGUCGAUUUUUUUUCUUCUCUUUUAAAAAGAGAGGAUUUGUGAAUUAAGCACACUUACAGCCCUAGCAAGGUCAUACCACAGGACUUUGAACUACAUUUGCUUUUGAAAGAAAGAAACUCAUUGCUGAUCAGCCUGACCCUCCACUGCGCCAGUUGCUAGCGCACACUUCUGCAGAAUGCAGUCAUUCUGAGGCCAUUUCAGGAGACAAAAGAGAUGUAUGAUUUAAAGACCGGGAUGAAGCUUUCAAGUGGGUAUUUCAGCAUGUGACCAAGGGCCUGUUCUGAAUGAUUUAGCCUGAGUGCACCCUAAGGUGGGAGUUCCUUUCAUAGAUAAUAAGGAAAUAAAUGUAUCGGUCUUCCAAAGAAGCUACUGCAAACCUGGCAGCAUACUGCUCCACCAGGACAUCCUGGAGUAUGACUGGAGUCAGUGCCCAGACACCCUCAUUCAAAUAAUGCUGGCAGUGCUACGGCUGUGCAGCCUGAUGACUUUUGCAGGGCUCUCUGCAAGUGUCCUGCUCCCUUACCUAGAGUUUGCAUCACUCAUCAGCAUUUUCCAAAGAUUUCACUUUACUCACCUCUCUGGGUUAGUCUAUUUUUGUGUCUUUAUAAAUCAAACAACACAGUUGCUGUUGUGAUUAUAUCAAAACAAAGCCUCCUUUUCCCUCACAGAUAUUUUGCUUGCCCUCCACCUCUGCUUCUCAGCAGCUUCUCAGACACCAUGCGAGGCUUUCAAAGCCUCACAGCACACUCUAAGAAGAAUGUAUCUGUCCUGAGGCUAUGAGCAAGUAGCUCUGCAAUAAUAUAAUUUAUGAAACUACAAGCUCAGCGUCCUUUUCUUCCUUCCUACACAAAGCUAGAUAGGAACUAUAUGCUGAAUUAACCUGGAAGUUUUGUGCCUCACAUGACUUGUAAUCUGAACUAUGGUUGCUCCUUCAGAUCCUUCAUAUUGAUAGAUACUUUGGGGGGAUCCUUGCCUGGUAUUUUCCCCACCCCAGUCAGAUUGGAUGGAUGGAAAUCAGUGGAAAUUUAUCCCCUUUUUUCCUAAACACAGAAAAUUGUAACUUUCCAUAUCUGAUUUUUUUUCUUUCAUUUUUAUUUCCUCAAUCCUUUAUAUAAUCAUUAUACAUGUUAAGAAGCCUGUUUUGGAAAUGAUUAAUGCUAUUAAUAUUUUUCUAAUUCAAUAAACCCUCUCAUCUUUGAACUCCUCGCAACAUUUUUCUGCUUUCUCCAGCUUUCCACUAAUUCAAACACAUGACAAAUGUGAGCCUUCGCUUCGGUUUUCUAUUAUUUCUCUUGUCUGAUCAAAUAAAUUAACAGACUUUCAUUCCUUUCCCAGGAGUAAUACCCAUAUGUUGAUGAAGGCAGUAUAAAAAUAUUACCUGUUCAAACAGGAG